AACGAACGCUGGCGGCAUGCCUAACACAUGCAAGUCGAACGAAGGCUUCGGCCUUAGUGGCGCACGGGCGAGUAACGCGUGGGAAACUGCCUAUUGGUGGGGAAUAACGACGGGAAACUGUCGCUAAUACCGCAUAAGCCCUUCGGGGGAAAGAUUUAUCGCCGAUAGAUGUGCCCGCGUCCGAUUAGCUAGUUGGUGAGGUAAUGGCUCACCAAGGCGAAGAUCGGUAGCUGGUCUGAGAGGAUGAUCAGCCACACUGGGACUGAGACACGGCCCAGACUCCUACGGGAGGCAGCAGUGGGGAAUAUUGGACAAUGGGCGAAAGCCUGUUCCAGCAAUGCCGCGUGAGUGAUGAAGGCCUUAGGGUUGUAAAGCUCUUUCGGGUGGGACGAUGAUGACGGUACCACCAGAAGAAGCCCCGGCUAACUUCGUGCCAGCAGCCGCCGUAA
rnacentral:rRNA from 1 species